rnacentral:rRNA from 1 species
GAUGAACGCUGGCGGCGUGCCUAAUACAUGCAAGUCGAACGCUUUGUGGUUCAACUGAUUUGAAGAGCUUGCUCAGAUAUGACGAUGGACAUUGCAAAGAGUGGCGAACGGGUGAGUAACACGUGGGAAACCUACCUCUUAGCAGGGGAUAACAUUUGGAAACAGAUGCUAAUACCGUAUAACAAUGACAACCGCAUGGUUGUUAUUUAAAAGAUGGUUCUGCUAUCACUAAGAGAUGGUCCCGCGGUGCAUUAGCUAGUUGGUAAGGUAAUGGCUUACCAAGGCGAUGAUGCAUAGCCGAGUUGAGAGACUGAUCGGCCACAAUGGGACUGAGACACGGCCCAUACUCCUACGGGAGGCAGCAGUAGGGAAUCUUCCACAAUGGGCGAAAGCCUGAUGGAGCAACGCCGCGUGUGUGAUGAAGGGUUUCGGCUCGUAAAACACUGUUGUAAGAGAAGAAUGACAUUGAGAGUAACUGUUCAAUGUGUGACGGUAUCUUACCAGAAAGGAACGGCUAAAUACGUGCCAGCAGCCGCGGUAAUACGUAUGUUCCAAGCGUUAUCCGGAUUUAUAGGGCGUAAAGCGAGCGCAGACGGUUAUUUAAGUCUGAAGUGAAAGCCCUCAGCUCAACUGAGGAAUUGCUUUGGAAACUGGAUGACUUGAGUGCAGUAGAGGAAAGUGGAACUCCAUGUGUAGCGGUGAAAUGCGUAGAUAUAUGGAAGAACACCAGUGGCGAAGGCGGCUUUCUGGACUGUAACUGACGUUGAGGCUCGAAAGUGUGGGUAGCAAACAGGAUUAGAUACCCUGGUAGUCCACACCGUAAACGAUGAGUGCUAGGUGUUUGAGGGUUUCCGCCCUUAAGUGCCGCAGCUAACGCAUUAAGCACUCCGCCUGGGGAGUACGACCGCAAGGUUGAAACUCAAAGGAAUUGACGGGGACCCGCACAAGCGGUGGAGCAUGUGGUUUAAUUCGAAGCAACGCGAAGAACCUUACCAGGUCUUGACAUCCCUUGACAACUCCAGAGAUGGAGCGUUCCCUUCGGGGACAAGGUGACAGGUGGUGCAUGGUUGUCGUCAGCUCGUGUCGUGAGAUGUUGGGUUAAGUCCCGCAACGAGCGCAACCCUUAUUACUAGUUGCCAGCAUUCAGUUGGGCACUCUAGUGAGACUGCCGGUGACAAACCGGAGGAAGGUGGGGAUGACGUCAAAUCAUCAUGCCCCUUAUGACCUGGGCUACACACGUGCUACAAUGGCGUAUACAACGAGUUGCCAACCCGCGAGGGUGAGCUAAUCUCUUAAAGUACGUCUCAGUUCGGAUUGUAGGCUGCAACUCGCCUACAUGAAGUCGGAAUCGCUAGUAAUCGCGGAUCAGCACGCCGCGGUGAAUACGUUCCCGGGUCUUGUACACACCGCCCGUCACACCAUGAGAGUUUGUAACACCCAAAGCCGGUGGGGUAACCUUCGGGAGCCAGCCGUCUAAGGUGGGACAGAUGAUUAGGGUG